AAUGUCUUCUAGGAGCUUGCAGAUAUGCUGGAAGAGAAAAAUAGGCCCCUGGGGGCAAUUCAAGCUAAUCAUGAAUUACAGAUAAAGCAAUUGAAUAUGGAACCUGAAAAGGAAUGUGAUAAACUUGGGAAUCUGCAGAUGAGCUUGCAAGAGGAGCACAAGCUGAAUGAGUCUCUUCAGGAGGAGCUUGGAGUUACUGAAAUCAGAGAAGGAUAAAAAAGCAAUGAAGGUAAAAGCUGGAUAUGUUGCAUGAAUCUCCAUUAGAACAACCCACCACCACCACCUCAUAAUAAAUAAAGUGAAAUAAUUACGAGGCUGAGCUACUGUAAAAGCUCUUAAUUAUUUCAUAGCUCUUAAUUUCCUAUCCCCUUU